rnacentral:rRNA from 1 species
UACGUAGGGGGCGAGCGUUGUCCGGAAUCAUUGGGCGUAAAGCGCGUGUAGGCGGCCCGGUAAGUCCGCUGUGAAAGCCCAGGGCUCAACCCUGGGAUGCCGGUGGAUACUGUCGGGCUCGAGUCCGGAAGAGGCGAGUGGAAUUCCUGGUGUAGCGGUGAAAUGCGCAGAUAUCAGGAGGAACACCAAUGGCGAAGGCAGCUCGCUGGGACGUGACUGACGCUGAGACGCGAAAGCGUGGGGAGCAAACAGG